UCAGAACGAACGCUGGCGGCGUGCUUAACACAUGCAAGUCGAACGAGAUACUUCGGUACGUAGAGUGGCGCACGGGUGAGUAACACGUAGGAACCUACCCUUUUGUGGGGGAUAACCAGAAGAAAUUCUGGCUAAUACCGCAUAAGUUGGAAACAAGAAAGGGUGCUGACGAAAGGAUGAGCCUGCGGAACCUUAGCUUGAUGGUGGGGUAAUGGCCUACCAUGGCUACGAUGUUUAGCUGGUCUGAGAGGAUGAUCAGCCACACUGGAACUGAGACACGGUCCAGACUCCUACGGGAGGCAGCAGUGGGGAAUAUUGCGCAAUGGGGGAAACCCUGACGCAGCAACGCCGCGUGAGUGAGGAAGGCCUUCGGGUUGUAAAGCUCUGUCAGAUGGGAAGAACGGCAGUGUACCAUCAAAGGAAGCACCGGUUAACUUCGUGUUAGUAGCCGCGGUAAUACGAAGGGUGCAAGCGUUAUUCGGAUUUACUGGGCGUAAAGCGCGCGCAGGCGGAUUUGUAAGUCAGAUGUGAAAUCUCGGGGCUCAACCCCGAAACUGCGUCUGAAACUGCUGAUCUAGAAUAUUGGAGGGGGAAGUGGAAUUUCGCAUGUAGGGGUAAAAUCCGUAGAGAUGCGAAGGAAUAUCAGAGGCAAAGGCGCCUUCCUGGACGAGUAUUGACGCUGAGGCGCGAAAGCGUGGGGAGCAAACAGGAUUAGAUACCCUGGUAGUCCACGCCGUAAACGAUGUGCACUAGAUUUGGGGGGUUUGACCCCUUAGUGCCGCAGCUAACGCAUUAAGUGCACCGCCUGGGGAGUACGGUCGCAAGACUAAAACUCAAAGGAAUUGACGGGGGCCCGCACAAGCGGUGGAUCAUGUGGUUUAAUUCGACGCAACGCGAAGAACCUUACCCGGGCUUGAAGUCCCACGCCUUGCCCAAAAGCGAGGGUGCUCUUCGGAGAAUGUGGUGAUAGGCGCUGCAUGGCUGUCGUCAGCUCGUGUUGUGAAAUGUUGGGUUAAGUCUCGCAACGAGCGCAACCCCUAUCUUUAGUUGCCAGCAUUAUUGGGCACUCUAGAGAGACUGCCUGGGCUAACCAGGAGGAAGGUGGGGAUGACGUCAAGUCCUCAUGGCCCUUAUGUCCGGGGCUACACACGUAAUACAAUGGUCAAAAGAGCAUGAAAUCUCAAAAAUUGAUCUCAGUCCGGAUUGGAGUCUGCAACUCGACUCCAUGAAGUUGGAAUCGCUAGUAAUCGCGGAUCAGACGCCGCGGUGAAUACGUUCCCGGGCCUUGUACACACCGCCCGUCACACCAUGGGAGUUGAUCUUACCUGAAAUCGUGGCCCUAACUCUUGAGAGGGGAGCGCUUACGGUCGAACUGAUGACUGGGGUG
rnacentral:rRNA from 1 species